UACGGGGGGAGCAAGCGUUGUUCGGAUUUACUGGGCGUAAAGGGCGCGUAGGCGGCGUGACAAGUCACUUGUGAAAUCUCCGGGCUUAACUCGGAACGGUCAAGUGAUACUGUCGUGCUAGAGUACAGAAGGGGCAACUGGAAUUCUCGGUGUAGCGGUGAAAUGCGUAGAUAUCGGGAGGAACACCUGUGGCGAAAGCACUUUACUGGGCUAUUACUAACACUCAGAGACGAAAGCUAGGGUAGCAAAUGGG
rnacentral:rRNA from 1 species